UUGAGGGACCAAAUGUGUCAAUUCUGAAACUUAAUUUACUAAUAGUAAAAUAACACACCAAACACACACCUAAGUGUGUGUUUGAUCGAUCAAAGCCAGGCAACAAGAGGGGAUUUCCCUCAAACCCUAAAAUUCACAAAAAUCCAUCAAUUGAAGGUGCAAAUCAAGUCCGAAUUGAAAUCUGAAUAUAGGGUUGUGAUCAUCUUGACUAAGAGAUUGUAAGGCAACACGAGUGAGGCGUCGGGAAGUCAAGCCGGUGCGGACGCUCGCCAAAAGGGAAAGCUCUAAGAUUUCAAGUAAGUCAAUCGAGCGGAUGGUGAUCAAUACAAGACUUAUGAACCGAACACUCUCAAGAAGAUGAUUUUCACUUUUGUUUUAGAAGUUCUUUUUGAAAACUUUGUAAUGAAUGAAUUACACAAUUGUCCUUUAAGUUUAGUGGUUGUUCUCAAACACUUAUGGACUAAAUGUUUUAAAUAAUUAUGAACUUUCUUAUUUAGUCGGUUUAAAA